UGGAGGCAUAUAUAACCGCGUCGAUUCCGCUCGCCCUGGCCCAAAUGCCAAAUCUCUCCCCCUCUGUGCUCCUAAAAAAGUUGUAGGUGGAUUCGGGCGCUAAAAUCCCAUGGAUUCUCUGCAUCAAAACCCUAGUUUGGCCUCCGAAACCUUUGCUUCCGAGCAUCCUCACGAGCCUCUCUACUUCUCCCCGUCUGAAACCCUAGCUGCUGCUUCUGCUUUCCCGCCUCAACCACCAAUUCCUCCUCCUCUUCCGCCUCCUCCUCCGCCUCCUCCUUCCUCCGAUCUAAAUCCUCCUGAAACCCUAGCUCCACUAAACUACUCGCCUUCUGAAAACCUAGACGCCUCCGACGACCCGUACCCGAUUCCCCCCGCCGAGCCCGAUUCGGAGUGCCCCAACAACGAUGGCCCGAACCAGAAGCAAGAGGUUCAGAGGCCCUUGUUGGCUGAAAGUGGUGUCGUUGCUGGUGGUAACGCUAACUUCACCGGGAGUGGUACGGACAGGGAAGGUUCGGCCGGCGAGGAGGAUGCGACGAGCCGGAGGCGGCGGAGGAGCCGGUGGGACCCUCCCUCAGCGGAUGGCGAGGCCCAGAAUGGGGAGUCCAAGAGAAGGAAGUCUAGGUGGGCGGACGAUGAGCCCAAACCAGCGUUUCAGCUGCCGGAUUUCAUGAAGGACUUCGUUGGAGGUAUGGACAUUGACCCUGAAAUUCAAGCUUUAAAUGCUAGGCUUCUUGAGAUUAGUCGGAUGUUGCAAUCGGGUUUGCCAUUGGAUGAUCGCCCGGAAGGCGCUAGGUCGCCUUCUCCCGAACCUAUAUAUGACAACAUGGGAGUUCGAAUCAAUACCAGAGAGUAUCGUGCUCGUGAGAGGCUUAACAGAGAGAGGCAAGAGAUUAUUUCACAAAUUAUAAAACGAAACCCAGCAUUCAAACCUCCUGCAGAUUAUAGGCCCCCAAAGCUUCAUAAGAAGCUAUAUAUUCCCAUGAAAGAAUACCCGGGUUAUAACUUUAUUGGACUGAUAAUUGGUCCGAGAGGGAAUACACAGAAGAGGAUGGAGAAGGAGACGGGGGCCAAAAUUGUGAUUCGGGGUAAAGGAUCGAUUAAGGAAGGUAGGUUGGGGCAAAAGCGUGAUUUAAAGUUUGAUCCUGCUGAGAAUGAAGAUUUGCAUGUUUUAGUUGAGGCUGAGACACAGGAGUCACUUGAUGCUGCCGUUGGAAUGGUAGAGAAGCUUUUGCAACCUGUGGAUGAAGGAUUGAAUGAGCAUAAGAGACAGCAGCUCCGAGAACUUGCUGCUUUGAAUGGAACAAUAAGGGAUGAUGAGUUUUGUAGGCUGUGUGGUGAGCCUGGACAUAGGCAGUAUGCAUGUCCUUCUCGAUUAUCGACUUUUAAGAGUGAUGUAUUAUGCAAGAUUUGUGGUGAUGGUGGGCACCCAACUAUUGAUUGUCCUGUGAAAGGCACCACAGGGAAGAAAAUGGACGAUGAGUAUCAGAACUUCUUGGCUGAAUUGGGUGGAACAAUUCCAGAAUCCCUCACCAAACAAAGUCCAGCAUUGUCUAUUUUGGGUUCCAACAGUUCAGGGAGCAAUCCACCUUGGGCCAGUGGCGGCGGUGCUGUAGGCACAGGAAACACAUCACAUCCUGGGCUGGGGAGCAAUGUGACUAAGAUGGUAAAAGAAAUAGAUGAUACAAACUUGUAUAUUGGAUACUUGCCCCCUACUCUUGAUGAUGAUGCUCUGAUCAGGUUAUUUUCACCAUUCGGUGACAUAGUAAUGGCAAAGGUUAUUAAGGACCGGGUGACUGGAUUAAGUAAAGGUUAUGGUUUUGUAAAGUAUUCUGACAUUGCUCAGGCAAAUCAAGCCAUUGCAAGCAUGAAUGGUCAUCGUCUAGAUGGGAGAGUAAUUGCUGUACGAGUUGCUGGUAAGCCGCCCCAACCUGCUGUUAUGCCUGGACCUCCUCCUCCUCCAAUGCACACGUUUCCUGCCCCAAAUCAGGCCAUUGCUGGAUACCCAUCUCAACAAAAUAUGUCAGGUGGCUCUCUUGGGAGUAUACCUCCUGGCAGCUACAUGGGUGCCCCAGCACCUUGGGGAGCACCUGCUCCACCUCCUCCUCCUACUCCUUAUGCGCCCUACCCUCCUCCUGCUGGAUCAUAUAUGUACAACCCUGUCCAAGGUCAACCCAUGCUUCCUUAUAAUGUACCGUAUCCUCCACCACCACAAGUUGCUACCUCCAGUACUCCUUCUCAAAGUAUUCCUUCAAGCGAAACGCAUGUAGCCCCCGGAGUGCAAUCUCAGAAUAAUGUAUCUGCAGCCUCUGCACAGUCUGGAGCUAAUAAUAUCUAUGGAAAUGCACUGAUGGGAAUGCCACCAAACUCCCAACCUACGUACAAUCCGUCUUCAUUAGGUUACCCUUCUUAUUAUGCUGUACCUCCUCCUCUUCCUCAACCUAUCUCUCAUGCACCGGUGGACCAACAGAACUUUGCAAGUGGGCCAUGGGCUUCUGAUCCACCUGCUCCACCAUCAAUUUCAUCUGCAGAGCAAAGCCAGCAAGCAACUGCUGGUGCAGAUCCCGAGUAUGAGAAGUUCAUGGCUGACAUGAAAUAAUACUGUUGCAGUCCCAAUGAUGUUCUCAUGUGAGAAAGCAACCUCCUUUUUGGCAGUGUCAAGUAAUUCUUAUGGAAAUGGCUUUGUCAUGUAUUGGCUCCACCAUUAUUUCCAAUUCCUGCUGCCAGCCCCUCUCCACCCAUUUACUUCAAGGGGGAGGACGGUGCUCCAUGAAUUCUAAUGGCAUGAGGUUUUCCUGGAGCUCUUCUCAACCUGUUUUCUUACAUCUUCCUAUGACUUCGACUUGUUGGAAGUUUCAGACUCACAUCUUUUAUCUUGCUGUGCUGUUAUCACAAUUGCAGAGACUUUUUACCAAUAUCCAGAUUAUCUGUUCCUGCAGUGAAGACCCUAUUAUAGAAUAUUCUUAAACUUGUAGUGGCACCGCUCCUAACUGCAGGGUGUGUGAACUUUCUAUGGUGCCAAUCAUGGUUCAACUGGAAAGCAUCUUGACGCUAAUAAAUUUCACAUUCUGUUUUUGUUUUAUUUUUGAUUUUUAGGUGUUUGCUGACAGUUUUUGCUGUAAUGCUUCAAUUUAUACUAUUUUAUUGUGUUAUUUUAUUUGACUUCAUUUCCUUAAA